AACGAACGCUGGCGGCGUGCUUAACACAUGCAAGUCGAACGAAGAGCGACGGAAGCUUGCUUCUAUCAAUCUUAGUGGCGAACGGGUGAGUAACGCGUAAUCAACCUGCCCUUCAGAGGGGGACAACAGUUGGAAACGACUGCUAAUACCGCAUACGAGCUAACCUCGGCAUCGAGGAUAGAUGAAAGGUGGCCUCUACAUGUAAGCUAUCACUGAAGGAGGGGAUUGCGUCUGAUUAGCUAGUUGGAGGGGUAACGGCCUACCAAGGCGAUGAUCAGUAGCCGGUCUGAGAGGAUGAACGGCCACAUUGGGACUGAGACACGGCCCAGACUCCUACGGGAGGCAGCAGUGGGGAAUCUUCCGCAAUGGACGAAAGUCUGACGGAGCAACGCCGCGUGAGUGAUGACGGCCUUCGGGUUGUAAAGCUCUGUUAAUCGGGACGAAAGGCCUUCUUGCGAAUAGUGAGAAGGAUUGACGGUACCGGAAAAGAAAGCCACGGCUAACUACGUG
rnacentral:rRNA from 1 species